rnacentral:tRNA from 1 species
GCCUCUGUAGCUCAGCGGACAGAGCGCCGGUCUUCUAAACCGUUGGUCGCAGGUUCGAGUCCUGCCAGGGGCG